AAAUGGAAUGAUGGGAAUUUAAACCUCUUCCAGAGUAUCAAUUGGAGGGCAAGUCUGGUGCCAGCAGCCGCGGUAAUUCCAGCUCCAAUAGCGUAUAUUAAAAUUGUUGCAGUUAAAAAGCUCGUAGUUGAAUUUCUGCUGCAUCGUCGCAUCUCUUGCUGAGUGCUUCGUUUCGGCUUAUUUCGGAUUGAUUUUUUCUUUCCGGAUGAUUACUUUGAGAAAAUUAGAGUGCUCAAAGCAGGCUUUUGCCUUGAAUAGUUUAGCAUGGAAUAAUAAAGUAGGACUUUGGUUCUAUUUUGUUGGUUUUAGGUACCAAAGUAAUGGUUAAUAGGAACAGUUGGGGGCAUUCGUAUUUAACUGUCAGAGGUGAAAUUCUUAGAUUUGUUAAAGACGAACUACUGCGAAAGCAUUUGCCAAGGAUGUUUUCAUUAAUCAAGAACGAAAGUUAGGGGAUCGAAGACGAUCAGAUACCGUCGUAGUCCUAACCAUAAACUAA
rnacentral:rRNA from 1 species